rnacentral:rRNA from 1 species
UAAUUACAUACACCCCUGAAAAUUUGGAACAGGUGGAUAUAAUUUGGUAGUGGAACAUUUGAAA